CCUACGGGGUGCUCUUAACCGAGUGUCCAGGCGGGGGCCGGCAACGUUACUUUGAACAAAUUAAAGUGCUUAAAGCAGGCUAAAUUGCGCUCGCAUACACGCGCAUGGAAUAAUCGAAUAGGACCUCCGUUCUAUUUUGUUGGGUUUUUGUGGAACGACAGACGGAGGUAAUGAUCAAUGGGUGCGGAUGGGGGCAUUCGUAUUGCGACGUUAGAGGUGAAAUUCUUGGAUCGUCGCAAGACGGACUUAAGCGAAAGCAUUUGCCAAAAACGCUUUCAUCGAUCAAGAACGAAAGUUAGAGGUUCGAAGGCGAUCAGAUACCGCCCUAGUUCUAACCAUAAACUAUGCCAGCUAGCGAUCCGCCGAAGUUACUUUUAUGACUCGGCGGGCAGCUUCCGGGAAACCAAAGCUUUCGGGUUCCGGGGGAAGUAUGGUUGCAAAGCUGAAACUUAAAGGAAUUGACGGAAGGGCACCACCAGGAGUGGAGCCUGCGGCUUAAUUUGACUCAACACGGGAAACCUCACCAGGCCCGGACACCGGAAGGAUUGACAGAUUGAGAGCUCUUUCUUGAUUCGGUGGGUGGUGGUGCAUGGCCGUUCUUAGUUGGUGGAGCGAUUUGUCUGGUUAAU
rnacentral:rRNA from 1 species